rnacentral:lncRNA from 1 species
UUUUGCAGAUGUCAGCUGUACCAUCUGCUGAUGAAAAAAAAUGUGCAUCGCUGUGGAAACACUGAGCAGUUCUGUGGUCUUUUCUGCACUCUGAUGCAGACCCUGAAGUCACCAGUAUCCAUGUCUGUGAUUCAGAUUGACAGUGAAACGAGGUACACCUUGCAUGGUAUGAACACACACACAUCAGCACCACUGUGUAAUGCUUGAAAUAUAUGCAGCAGAGCGAGAUAAGGAGGGGAUGUGCA